GCGGACGGUGGCUGGCGAAACACAGCCAGAGGUGGAAGUGUGCCUUCGGCUCUGGAAUGCCACCGAAGGGAAUUUCUCUGUGGAAACGACGCCCGACACUUACCAGGCCAACACAACCUACGUGGUGACCAUAAAGGACGGCAGAAACCACAGCAACAGCUCGGGCCAUUACCUGCUGCAGGCCCUGUCCCCACAGAACACCUCGGUGGGGCGGUGGCCGGCGGCACCCACAGAGAGCUGCAGCUCUCUGGACACUGCGGUGUUGAAGAUCCCCGAGAACAGAACCCUCUGGGCGUCCCCAGUCAGCAGCCUGAGCUCUGUGCAAAUAAGGGUCUAUCUCAUCCUCCCUGGUAACACCACCGAGUUCCAGACCUUCUUGCUGAACAGAGG